rnacentral:rRNA from 1 species
CCUACGGGCGGCAGCAGUGGGGAAUAUUGCACAAUGGGGGAAACCCUGAUGCAGCGACGCCGCGUGAGUGAAGAAGUAAUUCGUUAUGUAAAGCUCUAUCAUCAGUGAAGAAAAUGACGGUACCUGGGUAAUAAGCCCCGGCUAACUACGUGCCAGCAGCCGCGGGAAUACGUAGGGGACAAGCGUUACCCGGAUUUUCUGGGUGUAAGGGGAGUGUGGACGGCAGUGCAGGUAAGGAGGGAAAGGGGGGGGCUCAACCCACGGAAUGCUUUGGAAAGUGUACGCCUUGAGUGCAGGAGAGGUGAGUGGAAUUCCUAGUGUAGCGGUGAAAUGCGUAGAUAUUAGGAGGAACACCAGUGGCGAAGGCGGCUUACUGGACUGUAACUGACGUUGAGGCUCGAAAGCGUGGGGAGCAAACAGGAUUAGAUACCCUUGUAGUC